GUACAGAGAAAACAUUACUUAUAAUAGUAGGUUAAAAUAAUCAGUACUCCCAAACUUGUUAGGAAAUAAAACUUGCAGACAAAGGUACUAUAUUUUCAUUUUAAAGGAUAAGUUGGACCUUAUUUAAAGAGACAGAUAUGGUCUUGUCCAAAAGUCAUGACAGUUUUGGGGGGAGAAGCAAAAUCAGUGAUCAGAGGAAAAGACUGCUAAGAUCUGGAGGAGGAGGAGGAGAACGUUCUCAGCAAAGAUAUGGACUCAAAUGCCUGGAAAAUGUCACUGUCAACAUCAUGAAAAUAGCAGUAGAGCUCUUUUCCAUUGGAAGGACAAACAACGUGCAAAAAAAUGGCAAGAGUUUUGCAUUUCUGGAGGAAAAACAAGCAACUCAUAAAUGUACAAUGUGAAAGGCAAACGUUUAUUUUUUGAAAUUAAUAAGAUGAGAGAAAGAAUAAGUAAAAACUUUGAAACUGUUGGAUAUAUAUAUACAUAUAUGCAUAUAUAAUAUAUUUAUAUAUGUAUACAUACAUAUAUACAUAUAAUAUGUAUUAUAUAAUGCAACCUUGCAUUUUUGAAGUUGGCAGGUGUUUGUGCCACUAAGCUAAACCCCCAGGCAAGCAAAAAAUAUUUAGAUAUUUUAUCCAUGUGAUAGCAAGAAUUCACAAUAUUUAUAAUAGUCAGAGAUAAUUCAUUAUUAAAGCAACAGAAAGAAUGUGAGUACUAUAAAAGAAUCAAUAGACUUUGGUAAAAUUAUGGUUGUGUUAACUGCCCCAGAUUGCUGUCUAGCCUGCUUCCUCUCUAACCAAGUAAAGUCUAAAUAACCUUGAGCAUUAAAUUUGUCUUGUCUCCUAAAAAAAAAAAAAAAAAAAAAAAAAAAAAAAAAAAAAAAAAAAAAAACGCUGUCACUUUCUUUUCUCUUUUUUUUUUCUGUGAUUUCUAUGUCUAUAUGUGCUCUUGAUUCAUAUAAUCUGUGCUGAAAAUACAGAAUUGUAUUCCAUGCAUGUAUGGCAUUUCCUUCUAAAUAUUCUUUGAAUAAAUUUGUCUAUAA